rnacentral:tRNA from 2 species
GCGCUGAUAGCUCAGUUGGAUAGAGCAUCUGCCUUCUAAGCAGAGGGUCGGGGGUUCGAAUCCCUUUCAGCGUGCCA